CCUACGGGCGGCUGCAGUGGGGAAUAUUGCACAAUGGGCGCAAGCCUGAUGCGGCCAUGCCGCGUGUGUGAAGAAGGCCUUCGGGUUGUAAAGCACUUUCAGCGGGGAGGAAGGCGUUAAGGUUAAUAACCUUGUCGAUUGACGUUACCCGCAGAAGAAGCACCGGCUAACUCCGUGCCAGCAGCCGCGGUAAUACGGAGGGUGCAAGCGUUAAUCGGAAUUACUGGGCGUAAAGCGCACGCAGGCGGUCUGUCAAGUCGGAUGUGAAAUCCCCGGGCUCAACCUGGGAACUGCAUUCGAAACUGGCAGGCUAGAGUCUUGCAGAGGGGGGUAGAAUUCCAGGUGAAGCGGUGAAAUGCGUAGAGAUCUGGAGGAAUACCGGUGGCGAAGGCGGCCCCCUGGACAAAGACUGACGCUCAGGUGCGAAAGCGUGGGGAGCAAACAGGAUUAGAUACCCGAGUAGUC
rnacentral:rRNA from 1 species